rnacentral:rRNA from 1 species
CGAGAGGACCAGAGUGGACGAACCUCUGGUGUACCGGUUGUGACGCCAGUCGCAUCGCCGGGUAGCUAUGUUCGGAAGGGAUAACCGCUGAAAGCAUCUAAGCGGGAAGCCUACCUCAAGAUAAGAUUUCCCUAGGACUUUAUGUCCUCUAAAGAGCCGUUCGAGACUAGGACGUUGAUAGGUUGGAUGUGGAAGCAUAGUGAUAUGUGAAGCUGACCAAUACUAAUUGCUCGUGAGGCUUGACUAU